UAACCUGUCAGUCUUUGUCGUUGUUUUUUGUUUGAAUUGUUUACGUGUUCGCUAUGCGGGGAAACUGUAAAACAAACGGAACUACGUGGCUAAGAACUGUUGUAACGGGGAUUAUUAUCGUAGCAACACACUUUUGGGGUGAGGCAAUCCCACACAGUGUUCGGGUGUAGUUCGUAACGGUUGAAGUGUGUAUGUUAGGAUGGUAACGUUAUAAUAGGAUGGUAACGUUAUAAUUCCUGCAUGAGUAGCAGAAAGUUGAAAUUGGGCAUGCUAUUUAUCCAAAAGUGAAAAUGCUGCCCUCUAUACCGUAAGAAGUUAAGGAUGAAGCGUGAAUUCAUGACAGGAAUAAGACGUGUGAAGUUUGGGAUAUCCUCCCUUCUACAAUAAGCAGCCAACAAGAGGACCUGAGCCCUAGGACCAUGCCUCAGGACUACCUGACAUGAUGACUCCUUGCUGUCCCCAGUCCACCUGGCCGUGCUGCUGCUCCAGUUUCAACUGUUCUGCCUUAUUAUUAUUUGACCAUGCUGGUCAUUUAUGAACAUUUGAACAUCUUGGCCAUGUUCUGUUAUAAUCUUCACCCAGCACAGCCAGAAGAGGACUGGCCACCCAACAUAGCCUGGUUCCUCUCUAGGUUUUGGACUUUCUAGGGAGUUGUUCCUAGCCACCGUGCUUCUACACCUGCAUUGCUUGCUGUUUGGGGUUUUAGGCUGGGUUUCUGUACAUCACUAUGAGAUAUCAGCUGAUGUACGAAGGGCUAUAUAAAUAAAUUUGAUUUGAUUUUGAUUUAACUAAACAGAAUACUACUCUGUUACUGUAGGAAUGUAUGAAUCUUAUUAUAAUCAUAAUACUGAAUAUAAUGUGUGUAGUUUUAGUCAAGAAUUAGAACAAUGACUUUCUGUUCCUUGGUAUAAACGAAUGGAGCUAUCGUCAGACCGGCUGGAAUACUGUGUUCCUUACAGGACAUUCUGUCCCUACCCAAAGGUGAAAAGACUAACAGACUGGGUAAACAGGGGAGGGAGGUUUGCAACAUAGAACGUCCACAGACAGAUAGACGCAAACUGAACUGGAGAGCUAACUGUACACCCACAGUGCACAUGAGUGAGAAUGGGGGGGAUUUCUGAGAGGCAGAGUACCUGUUAACCAUAGAACAGGAGGAUGAUUUAAAAGAGAUACCCAGAUAUUUGUGGUCUCAGGGUCCCGCUGAUGUAGGCUUAAUUAAAGGAGUAACUCCGGUGCAAGUAGUUCCAAAAUCAAAUUAUAUACCUUACCAAAAACAGUACCCAUUAAAGCCAGAAGCAGUUAAAGGGUUAACACCUACUUUUGAACAGCUGAGAAAGGGAGGGGUUAUCAUACCAGGGGGUGAAGCGUUCUGUAACUCCUCUUUUUCAGUAAAGAAGGUGUUCCCUAGCACUGACUGGAGAAUGGUAAUGGACCUACAGGGGGUCAAUAACAGUGUGAUACCAAGAACAUCUUGUUUACCAGACCCGCACACUCUGUUAAACCAACUGAAGUCUGAGAAUGCUUACUUUACUGUGAUAGACCUUGCUAAUGCUUUCUUUAGUAUUCCGAUACACCCAGACAGCCAGGGGUGGUUCGGGAUCACCUUUUUAGGCCAAAAAUGGACGUAUAGCCAUUUGGCUCAAGGUUAUUUGGAAAGUCCUAUAAUCUAUAGUCAGGCAAUUACUAGAAAUCUUGGAAAAUUCGACCCUCCCCGGGGGAGCCAAAUAUUAAUACAUGUUGAUGAUAUUCUGCUGUCAAAUUCCUCACAGGAGGCCUGUAAAGCGAAUACUCUUACUCUGUUCCUCUUCCUAGCAGACCAAGGUCACAAAGUUAAUAAGAGGAAGUUACAGCUCUGGCAGGAACAAGUUAUCUAUUUAGGACACACCAUAACCCAGGAAGGGAGAACACUUAAUUCAACCAGAAAGACAGCCAUUCUAGAAGCACCCAAACCACUUAUCAAAAAGCAGAUGAUGAGUUUCUUGGGAAUGAUUAACUAUUGUAGGGCGUGGGUCCCACACUUUCCAUUGCAUACAGGGUUACUUAGUGAUUUGAUCUAUGGUAAGGCUAUGACAGCAAAAGACAAAAUUGUAUGGACAAGAGAAGCGGAGAAACAGUUUGUGGCUAUUAAACAGCUAUUGAUAUCUGACACUGUUCUGGCAUUCCCUAGGUAUGACCGUGUAUUCACACAGACUGUGGAUUGCAGGGAGGGGUUCAUGACAUCAAUGUUGACUUAGAGACACGGAGGGAAGAAUAGGCUGGUGGCCUAUUAUUGAUCAGGUGGCGCAAGCAAUGCCCCUGUGUUUGCUGUAGGACGGGCUGUGGAAGACUCAGCCUCUGUAGUACUUUACCAUGAUUUGACUUUGAGGGUACCACAUGCCGUCUCAAUCUUGUUAUUAGAACAUAAAAUGCCGUACAUGUCACCAGCUAGACACUUGUCUUGUAUGAUUAUUCUGUUAAAUAUGCCAGAUCUAACAAUUGAGCGAUGUACUACCUUGAACCCCUCCACCCUAAUUCCGAUAGCCACCGAUGGGUGUCCCCAUGAUUGUGUAGCGGAGAUGGAGAAAGUAGUUCUCCCCAGACCAGAUCUAACUGAUCUGCCUUUGCCAGAUGCUGAAAUAACUCUGCUCAACAAGCUGAAAUUGUUGCCCUUACCAGGGCUUGUGAAUUGGGAAAGGGUAAAUGCAUUACGAUACAUACUGAUAGUGCUUAUGCUUUUAACACUGUCCAUGUAUUUGCAGCUCAGUGGAGAAACAGGGGCAUGGUUACCACCAUGGGUCUCUAUGGAAGGUAUUUGUGUAAAUCACUGUGUAAUUCAUGGAAUCCGGUCAUAGCUCACACUGAGAGGGAUGGCUAUGUAAACCCACACACCCAAUUUGGGAGCACAUGGAAUCUAGUAAAGGUGGGAGUUUCUGACUGUGUUCCAGGGGAAAUAUUGCAGGGGAAAUAUUGAAUAAAGGUACGAAUUACCAUUAAAACGGUAAAGACCCAGGAUCUCGGGUUAUGGUAUGUUGGUUUCGACCAGUUUUCAAAUGAUACUAUGGUACCGUUCCAGGUGGCAGAGGUUAGAGCUGGUAAGCUAUGGUUGGCCGGAGUUCAGUUAAUCUGCCUAACACAACGGACAUUCCUAGUGUGAUUACACCCAGGGCCAAGGACCAGUACGAAUAGUUCAGACAAGAGGAAGUGAUAGAGGUGGAGACUGGGUUUGGGGAUUCCAACAUAUGGUUGGAAUGGAUUCAAUAUAUGGCCAGAUCAGUAGCUAAAGAAGAAUGUUAUGCCUGUGCCACAGCUAAACCUCAGUUGACAACUAUCCCUUUUCCGCUUAAUGAAGUUCAUUCACAUAGGGGUAUGGCCUGUAUGGUAAAGCUGCUCAUGAAAGCAGGAAUGCCAGAUAAUGACAGAUGCUCUGAUCUGCACUAUUUGUAUCCACAUGUACCCUUAGAUCUAGGCUCCCACCCUUUACUGUGGCAAGAGGAGAUUAUUACUGUGGGGCCAGGUACAACACCUAUGGAAGAUAUGUAGGGGAAGUUAGCACCUGCAAUAGGACAGAGAAUGUUACCACUGAUGGGACUAUGAGCGAUCUGACAGGCUGGCUGAGCUCUAGGGAUUUCAGUAAAAUAAAGAGGCCCAGGGCGGACAUCUGGUAGUUGUGUGGGGGAAUGACGUUAUGGCCAAAUUUACCUACAAAUUGGACAGGCCUAUGCGCUCUUGUGCAUUUGGGAAUGCCUUUGACCCUCAUUCAACACCAUGAUACGGUGUUGGCCAAACGGGAGAAAAGAAGUUCUCCAUCUGGGUCUUUUGACGAUAUAGUAUAUAUUGAUAACAUUGGGGUUCCACGGGGGGUGCCAGACGAGUUCAAAGCAAGAAAUCAGAUCCUAGCUGGAUUAGAGUCAAGCAUUUUCUGGUGGUCCACUCUCAAUAAGAAUGUGGACUGGAUUAAUUAUAUAUAUUAUAAUCAACAACGCUUCAUCAAUUAUACCAGAGAUGCCAUAAAAGGAUUGGCAGAGCAGACCGAAGCAACCAGCCUGAUUUCUUGGCAGAACAGAAUCGCAUUAGAUAUGUUGUUGCCAGAAAAGGUAGAGGCUGCGUGAUAUUCGGUAAAAUGUGCUGUACGUUCAUCCCAAAUAACACAGCUCCGGACAGAUCAGUGACCAAGGCCCUGGCUGGUUUAACCAUCCUAGCUCACGAGUUGGCAGAAAACUCUGGGGUGGAUACUUCUCUGACUAAUUGGUUUGACAGUAUGUUUGGAAAAUGGAAAAAUGUCAUGAUAACUGUGCUGUGGGCAACUUUCAACUGUGUGACUGUGUUAGUUUUGUGCAGCUGUUGUCUUAUUCAUUGCGUGAGAGGUCUCAUUUCUAGGACUCUGGAGAAAUCGAUGACACAACAGAUGUUGAGAUACAAUGAAUGAAUACAAUGAUGAAUACAUGCCCCCAGACCUAGCGGAUGGAUCCGGUUCCUUCACAUACGAGGAGCCUAAGUUGGAUGAGACCAUUUUUGAUGUUUAGGGAUUUUAGUUUGUUUCUUGUUUUGAUGUUUACACUGUUUCUUUGAUGAAGAUUAUAACAAAUAUCCUGAUAAGAAGAGUUAUGAUUCAGAUGUAGGCCUGGAACAGUCAAUUUAAUACAUAUGUUGGUAUUUGUUAGGAUGUUUUUGGAUAACAAGAGAUAGUUCUAAUAAAAAUAGAUGUUUGCUUUUUAAUAUUUUAACCUCUUGGUCCUACCUGGCACGCAGGCGUCCCAUCUAGAGCUCUGGAAAUGCAAAUGCGCUACGCUAAAUGCUAAUAGUAUUAGUUAAAACUCAAACGUUCAUUAAAAUACACAUGCAGGGUAUUGAAUUAAAGCUACACUCGUUGUGAAUCCAGGCAACAAGUCAGAUUUUUAAAAUGCUUUUCAGGGAAAGCAUGAGAAGCUAUUAUCUGAUAGCAUGUAACACCCCAAAAGACCCGCAGGGGACGUAAACAAAAUAAUUAGCAUAGUCGUCGCUACACAAACCGCACAAAUAAAAUAUAAAACAUUCAUUACCUUUGACCAUCUUCUUUGUUGGCAAUCCUAGAUGUCCCAUAAUCACUAUUGGGUCUUUUUUUCGAUUAAAUCGGUCCAUAUAUAGCCUAGAUAUCGAUCUAUGAAGACUGUGUGAUAAACGGAAAAAAAUAGCGUUUCAUAAUAAACUUUCACAAAACACUUCGAAAUACUUUUGUAAUGCAACUUUAGGUAUUAGUACACGUUAAUAAGCGAUAAAAUUCAUCAGGAGGCGAUGUCAAUUCUAUAGGUGUCUGUUUCGAAAAAAUGUCUUUCAGAGAGCUCGACCAAAACAUCCGGUCGGAGACCGGAGGGAAUCGAUUCCCUUGAUUCAGUUAGACCAAGAAUCAAUUGCGAAUCAAAUGACAAGACUCUAGACAACGUGUGGAAGCUGCUAGGCACUGCAACCUCGGCCUCAUUUAAUUCGAUUCACUUUGAACAAUUCCUUGAAGUCGCGGAUGGAUAUUUUUUUCCAUUUUCAGUGAUCAGAUAUUCCUGCACUUUUCGAUGAAACGCAUGUUCUGUUAUAGUCACAGCCGUGAUUUAACCAGUUUUAUAAACGUCUGAGUGUUUUCUAUCCACACAUACUAUCAUAUGCAUAUACUAUAUUCCUGGCCUGAGUAGCAGGGCGCUGAAAUGUUGUGCGAUUUUUAACAGAAUGUUCGAAAAAGUAGAGGGUCGACUUAACAGGUUAAUAAAAAUAGAGGUGUGAUUGGAUGUAUAAUAUUUAGUCAUAGGGUGUUAUGAUAUUUUUAUGACUAAUGACUCAAUUAUGUAUACAUUCAGUUCAGAAUUAUAACUAAACAGAAUACUACUCUGUUACUGUAGGAAUGUAUGAAUCUUAUUAUAAUCAUAACACUGAAUAUAAGGUGUGUAGUUUUUGUCAAGAAUUAGAACAAUGACUUUCUGUUCCUUGGUAUAAACGAAUGGAGCUAUCGUCAGACUGGCUGGAAUACUGUGUUCCUUACAGGACAUUCUGUCCCUACCCAGGGAGGAGAGAGACCUUGGGCUUGUAGUAUAUUGUUUAACAGGUGGCAUACAAUGUGAGAAGGCUUGUGAACUAUAUUGCCAUUGUAUAGGAGAGGGGGAUAGACAUUUAUUACGAAAUUUGAGGUAUAUAAACCACGUGUACAUGGUAUUAUGACCAGAGCUCUCAGGAAAUAAACACUACUGAUCUUUGUCUAUUUUAUACAAAUAAUAACCUUACAAAUUCUUAGAAACGGACAAAGUGUGUUACAAUUUGUUACAAUUUAAUUGGUUAAUUAACAUAUAGGAAUUAAAUUCCUCUAACAGGCAGAUGGUGUGUUUAUUUAUUUAUUUUAUUUUACCUUUAUUUAACCAGGCAAGUCAGUUAAGAACAUAUUCUUAUUUUCAAUGACGGCCUGGGAACAGUGGGUUUGUCAUGUCUUGUCAUAUUAUGUCUUGUUCCUGUUCUUUCUCUUCACUCUGUCUCCCUCUGCUGGUCGUAUUAGGUUACCUUCUCUUUCUCUCCUCCUCCAGCUGUUCCUCAUCUCCUCUAACUACCUCGUUCACCCUUUUCCCACCUGUUCCCUUUUUCCCUCUGAUUAGGUCUCUAUUUCUCUCUCUGUUCCUGCUUCUUUCUUUGUCAGAUUCUCAUUUGAGUUUCUCAUGCCAGAAACAAACUAUCGUCUCGUUUGCUUCAUCCUUGUCCUGUCGGAAUCUGCCUGGCAAGUGCAUCCUGUACUCAGCUAACUGUCUUAUCGUUUGUACUGUGUCCAGUUCAUCUGAUGCUACGUGAGAUCAGGUACCACUGUUCCUCUACGACCCGCGCCUACCCAGAGAGACCUGCAGCCUGUCGCCGCUAACCCAGCUAUUCUCCUCUGCUGCUAAGAAGGGGGCUCUUUUGUAAUUAUCAGAAGGACUUUUUGUUUCAUUUUGUCGCCCUCUCUGCGGGUUGUCUAUUUUUCCAUUAUCUACACCUGAAGAGGACCUAUGUCUUCCCUGUGUUUACAUUAAAGGACUCUGUUUUUGUUAAA